UACGUAGGGUGCGAGCGUUGUCCGGAAUUACUGGGGCGUAAAGCGUGCGCAGGCGGUGAUGUAAGACAGAUGUGAAAUCCCCGGGCUCAACUUGGGAACUGCAUUUGUGACUGCAUCGCUGGAGUGCGGCAGAGGGGGGAUGGAAUUCCGCGUGUAGCAGUGAAAUGCGUAGAUAUGCGGAGGAACACCGAUGGCGAAGGCAAUCCCCUGGGCCUGCACUGACGCUCAUGCACGAAAGCGUGGGGAGCAAACAGG
rnacentral:rRNA from 1 species